AACUAAGCAAUGAUGAGAAGAGUAAAUAAUACAUUUCUUUACAGAGAGCUCCACAAGCUGAAAAGGAGUAAGAAAUUAAUUAUUGAACCAAGCCUCUGAGCAUUACAUUGGAACCUUAUAAAAGGAGAUGGUGUAACGGGAGCUCCCGUUAUAGAGCUAGGGUAUUAAGCAUGUAAAAAAGUACCUGAAAAGGUUAAUAUGGCGACAUAUUAAUAAACUGGGGUGGCACCACGGUUAUGAAAUCUCGUCCCCAAG
rnacentral:ncRNA from 1 species